GUAAUGGUUUAACUAUACACAACUAAACUCAUCAUUAUUGAUUGUAAAUUACCUGAGAUUUACAGGAACAAUCCCCCUGGGGCACAAGGGGUUAAAGGAAUAGUUCAACCAAAAAUUAAUAUUUGUUGAAAAUGUCCUCACCCUCAGGCCAUCCAAGAUGUAGAUGGUUGAUUUUCAGAUACAGGAACAAAUACAGAUGAAUUUAGGAUUACAUCACUUACUCACCAAUGGAUCCUCUGCAUUGAAUGGGUGCUGACGAGAGUCCAAACAUCUGAUAAAAACAUCACAAUAAUCCACAAUGAAAAUCAUCUUAUCUAAAUCAGGACAGGAAUAUGCACAGACCAAGCACCAAUUACAAGCGAAAAAAGUCCAAAAUUUAUAAACUAAUAUGUCAGUGGAUUUUAAUCUGAUGGGACAACAUGGGAUGGACUUCUUCACCAAAGAAGCAUUAUUACGGAUUAUGGAUUUAUUUUGGCAAGAAUUGACUGUUUAAAGCAUUUUGGACUCUCAUUCUGACGGCACCCAUUCACUGCAGAGGAUCCAUUGCUGAGAAAGUGAUAUAAUGCAAAAUUUACAUCCAGAUCUGCUCCAAUGAAGAAGUCAAUUUGAAUAAGAACAUUUUCAGCAAAUUAAAUUUUUGGGGUAAAUUAUUCCUUAAACAAUUUUCCAG